UAACACGUAAACAACCUGCCUUAAGGAUGGGGAUAACAGACGGAAACGACUGCUAAUACCGAAUACGUUCUAAGCAUCGCAUGGUGCAUAGAAGAAAGGGUGGCCUCUACAAGAAAGCUAUCGCCUUAAGAGGGGUUUGCGACUGAUUAGGUAGUUGGUGAGGUAACGGCUCACCAAGCCGACGAUCAGUAGCCGACCUGAGAGGGUGACCGGCCACAUUGGGACUGAGACACGGCCCAA
rnacentral:rRNA from 1 species